AAUGAACGCUGGCGGCAUGCCUAACACAUGCAAGUCGAACGGGUGGCGGACGGGUGAGUAAUGUCUGGGAAACUGCAUGAGGGAGGGGGAUAACUUCUGGAAACGGUAGCUAAAACCGAAUAACAUCAGAUGCUCCCUGAUGGGCUUAGCUUGUUGGUGGGGGAACGGCUCACCAAUGCGACGAUCCAUAGCUGGUCUGAGGGUAUGACGAGCCACUCUGGAGCGGAGACAGGGUCCUGAUUCCUACGGGAGGCAGGAGUGGAGAAUAUUGCACAGUUGGCGCAAGCCGGAUGCAGCCAUGCGGCGGGUGUGAAGAAGGCCUUCGGGUUGUAAAGUAGUUGCCGCGGGGGGGCGUUACCUGCGGAGGAAGCACCGGCUAACUCCGUGCCAGCAGCCGCGGUAAUUC
rnacentral:rRNA from 1 species